rnacentral:rRNA from 1 species
GGGUGAGUAACACGUGAGUAAUCUGCCUCUGGCUUCGGGAUAGCCACCGGAAACGGUGAUUAAUACCGGAUAUGACAUCUUCACGCAUGUGAUGGGUGUGGAAAGUUUUUUCGGCCAGGGAUGUGCUCGCGGCCUAUCAGCUUGUUGGUGGGGUAAUGGCCUACCAAGGCUUCGACGGGUAGCCGGCCUGAGAGGGUGACCGGCCACACUGGGACUGAGACACGGCCCAGACUCCUACGGGAGGCAGCAGUGGGGAAUAUUGGACAAUGGGCGGAAGCCUGAUCCAGCAACGCCGCGUGAGGGAUGACGGCCUUCGGGUUGUAAACCUCUUUCAGCACAGACGAAGCGCAAGUGACGGUAUGUGCAGAAGAAGGACCGGCCAACUACGUGCCAGCAGCCGCGGUAAUACGUAGGGUCCGAGCGUUGUCCGGAAUUAUUGGGCGUAAAGGGCUCGUAGGCGGUUUGUCGCGUCGGGAGUGAAAACACCGGGCUUAACUCGGUGCUUGCUUUCGAUACGGGCAGACUAGAGGCAUUCAGGGGAGAACGGAAUUCCUGGUGUAGCGGUGAAAUGCGCAGAUAUCAGGAGGAACACCGGUGGCGAAGGCGGUUCUCUGGGAAUGUCCUGACGCUGAGGAGCGAAAGUGUGGGG